UACGUAGGGAGCGAGCGUUGCCCGGAUUUAUUGGGCGUAAAGGGCGCGUAGGCGGCUCGGCACGUCCGUUGUGAAAUCGCCCGGCUCAACUGGGCGGGGUCAGCGGAUACGGUCGAGCUUGAGCAAGCUAGGGGGCAAUGGAAUUCCCGGUGUAGUGGUGGAAUGCGUAGAUAUCGGGAGGAACACCAGUGGCGAAGGCGGUUGCCUGGAGCUUUGCUGACGCUGAGGCGCGAAAGCGUGGGGAGCGAUCCGG
rnacentral:rRNA from 1 species